CCAGCUUCCUUUGCCAAUCUGGCUUAGAUCAAGUGUAGUAUCUGUUCUUCCGUAGCUUAACAGCUCGGAUGUGUUCUACGGAACACAUAACACAAAACUGUUAACUUGUUUUUGAACUCGCCGUUGGUCUGCCCAUCCGCUGAGCUUGCUUGGUGGAGGGGCGCUGGCAUGGUGUCCGAGGCCUUACACUGCUGCCUUGUGAUGCUGAGGCCUG
rnacentral:snRNA from 1 species